CACGUUGCUGAAAUGAAAAGCAGAUGGAAGAAGUUGAUAAUUAGGAAUCAUUUUGCAUCAGUAGUGUUGCUGUGAGCUGAAUCGGCACUGCCUGUGCAACAUUUGGCAAAGUAAGUGAACGCUACGUUAUAUCUUCAUUUUGAAUGAGCUAAUGGCUAACUAGCUAAUUGGCACGAGGAGCCCCCACACGUAGGCCUGCUGGCCCCCAGCAAAGGACUUGAUAUGCUGUACAAGAUACAAGAUAUCAAGAAAACCUUUGCUGGAGUCUUACAUGAAUGUGCCCACAAGAGGAACCCAACAGAACCAAUGGAUCAGGAUGAAGCAUGAUAGUCCGUGGUGUUUUGAGGGCCAAUCCGAAAGGUGAGGAAAUCUUCAAGGAGUGCAACAAGACUGAAACACUAACCGAUGCAAGGUGUAAACAGAUGGUGAACAUCCUGGUUGCAGAUAUGACGGAGCUGCAUGGGAGGGUUCCGCCAUCAUGUGUGAUGAGAAAUUACGCCCUGAGAAUUGUGACUUGUUUUCCAUACCUCAAAGAUCCAUUCUCCAAACCUGGAUAUGAUGCUUAGCUUAGCGGCAGUGGAUCAAGAGGUAGAGCAGGUCGUCCAGAAAUCGUAAGCUGUUUGGUGAGGAGUGCAGGGAGGCACUAUCUACAAUAAGACAUUCAACCGAUGAAUCCGUGGUCAAAGAAGAUGAGAGCAACUUUCCAGUAUCGACAGAAUAUGAUCCAAGCACAAGAUGUAUCAUCGUCUGUCCUCGAUGUGUUCACUCGCUUCCUUGAUGUUCCUGGAUUGAUUGACCAGGAUUUCUCAAUGAUGUUUGCUGAUGAAGUAUCUCAGAAGUUCCUGGCUAAGUGGUCAACUGUCUUCAAAGCAAAAGUCCUUGCAGACUGCAAGACUCUCCCGCAAAAGCAGAACAUUGAUGAGUUGCUGUCAGGAACUGAACCUCAACCUGAUGACAGCUGUGGCUGGGGCAGUGAUACAUCCUCCAUCCUUCUACUCCUGCAUCUGCUCCCUCUGACCUCUAGAGGCCAGGAAAAAAAACAGCAAAGAUCAGUUUGUCAAGCAGCCAACCAUCUUCUCAGACAUCUUAAGGAAGGAGCCAGUGUGACCCCCUUCCAAGACUGUUGACACAAGACAAGCAUUUCUCCUCUGCAUCAGUGAGCGAAGGUGACAUCCAGAGGUUCUACAUUAUUAUUGACCAAAAGCCGGUUCCAUGCAAGGCACAUACAUUUAUUGCAGCUUUUGAUGAACUGUUCAAAGCUCACUACGUCUUCAGUCUCUCUUAUGGUUAAAAAUGGAUAAGAGCAAAGAUUUGGGUCUGACUGCUGCCCAGUCAUGGUGUCUUCUAUGUAACACUCCACUUCUAUUUGGUGAUGGCAUUGAAAGGAAGAAUGAUCACUGGAACUUCCUCCUCCUUUUGAUGCAGAUUGUCAACAUACCUGCAGUGUUCUCCUACACCAUAACUGAUGGAAUGAUCUUUUACUUGAAACAUCUGAUAAGUGACCCCCACACUCGGUACAAAGCAUUGCUGCUGGUAAGAAGUUGAUUCCCAAGCAUACAAAACAUUGGCCUUCUUUUCCAGACGUGGUGAAUGCGUUUUUGAAGCCAAACACAAUUUUUUCAAAAGGCGUGGUUAAAAUUUUUAAAAAUCUCAGCCGUUUGUCAUGGCCUUUCACUAUGAAAAUGAUUAUUUUAGAAGAUUUGCAUUUGGCCCUACAUCAAAAACAAUCUGCAACUUGAAAGGUGGGGAGGAGCGUGGUCAGGCAUGAUGUCUGCAAGCAUCUUCCAAGUGUGUCAAGUACCAACUGGGUGAGAAGUUACGGUAUAGAGCACCAUGUUGGUGUGUUCAUAUGUACUGGAUGUAGCUUUGAUCUACCUGUGUUCAAGAAGAUCUGGGAUAUCAUAAAACACAAAGAAUGUGCUUUCAUAAUCGCCUGUAAUGUAGAAACGAUGUACUAUGAUGACCCGUUUAACGCGUACUGCAUAGAAGACCAAAUGCUUGAGUUUUCUAUCAUGUGUUUAAAUGAACUGACUCAUUUCAGACCAUUUGACAAGCAGUGCUCUAAUGACAAGUGUCAGAGAGCAAACAUACUGUAGUGCCCUGCUGUUAUUUAAGCUACUGUCUGUUGGAAAUGAAAUGUUUUUGAAUAAAAUGU